rnacentral:rRNA from 1 species
AGUGAACGCUGGCGGUAGGCCUAACACAUGCAAGUCGAACGGCAGCACAGGAGAGCUUGCUCUCUGGGUGGCGAGUGGCGGACGGGUGAGGAAUGCAUCGGAAUCUACUCUUUCGUGGGGGAUAACGUAGGGAAACUUACGCUAAUACCGCAUACGACCUACGGGUGAAAGCCGGGGACCUUCGGGCCUGGCGCGAAAGAAUGAGCCGAUGCCCGAUUAGCUAGUUGGCGGGGUAAGAGCCCACCAAGGCGACGAUCGGUAGCUGGUCUGAGAGGAUGAUCAGCCACACUGGAACUGAGACACGGUCCAGACUCCUACGGGAGGCAGCAGUGGGGAAUAUUGGACAAUGGGCGCAAGCCUGAUCCAGCCAUACCGCGUGGGUGAAGAAGGCCUUCCGGGUUGUAAAGCCCUUUUGUUGGGAAAGAAAAGCAGUCGGUUAAUACCCGAUUGUUCUGAUCGGUACCCAAAGAAUAAGCACCGGCUAAAU